UUGCUCCUGGAUUCAGCGGSGGACGGGUGAGUAAUGCCUAGGAAUCUGCCUGGUAGUGGGGGACAACGUUUCGAAAGGAACGCUAAUACCGCAUACGUCCUACGGGAGAAAGCAGGGGACCUUCGGGCCUUGCGCUAUCAGAUGAGCCUAGGUCGGAUUAGCUAGUUGGUGAGGUAAUGGCUCACCAAGGCGACGAUCCGUAACUGGUCUGAGAGGAUGAUCAGUCACACUGGAACUGAGACACGGUCCAGACUCCUACGGGAGGCAGCAGUGGGGAAUAUUGGACAAUGGGCGAAAGCCUGAUCCAGCCAUGCCGCGUGUGUGAAGAAGGUCUUCGGAUUGUAAAGCACUUUAAGUUGGGAGGAAGGGCAGUAAAUUAAUACUUUGCUGUUUUGACGUUACCGACAGAAUAAGCACCGGCUAACUCUGUGCCAGCAGCCGCGGUAAUACAGAGGGUGCAAGCGUUAAUCGGAAUUACUGGGCGUAAAGCGCGCGUAG
rnacentral:rRNA from 1 species